rnacentral:rRNA from 1 species
GACGAACGCUGGCGGCGUGCCUAAUACAUGCCAGUAGAACGCACAGUUUAUACCGUAGCUUGCUCCACCAUAGACUGUGAGUUGCGAACGGGUGAGUAACGCGUAGGUAACCUGCCUGGUAGCGGGGGAUAACUAUUGGAAACGAUAGCUAAUACCGCAUAAUAUUGAUUAUUGCAUGAUAAUUGAUUGAAAGAUGCUAUUGCAUCACUACCAGAUGGACCUGCGUUGUAUUAGCUAGUAGGUGAGGUAACGGCUCACCUAGGCGACGAUACAUAGCCGACCUGAGAGGGUGGACGGCCACACUGGGACUGAGACACGGCCCAGAAUCCUAAGGGAGGCAGCAGUAGGGAAUCUUCGGCAAUGGACGAAAGUCUGACCGAGCAACGCCGCGUGAGUGAAGAAGGGUUUCGGAUCGUAAAGCUCUGUUGUAAGGGAAGAACGGGUGUGAGAGUGGAAAGUUCACACUGUGACGGUAGCUUAACAGAAAGGGACGGCUAACUACGUG